rnacentral:rRNA from 1 species
UACGAAGGGGGCUAGCGUUGUUCGGAAUUACUGGGCGUAAAGCGCGCGCAGGCGGCUCUUCAAGUCAGGGGUGAAAGCCCAGAGCUCAACUCUGGAACUGCCUUUGAGACUGUAGAGCUUGAGUACGGGAGAGGUGAGUGGAAUUCCCAGUGUGGAGGUGAAAUUCGUAGAUAUUGGGAAGAACACCGGUGGCGAAGGCGGCUCACUGGCCCGUUACUGACGCUCAGGCGCGACAGCGUGGGGAUCAAACAGG